rnacentral:tRNA from 1 species
GCCCUCGUCGCCCAGCUGGAUAGAAUACUCGGCUACGAACCGAGCGGUCACAGGUUCGAAUCCUGUCGAGUGCACCA